AUUGAACGCUGGCGGCAGGCCUAACACAUGCAAGUCGAGCGGAUGACGGGAGCUUGCUCCUUGAUUCAGCGGCGGACGGGUGAGUAAUGCCUAGGAAUCUGCCUGGUAAUGGGGGACAACGUUUCGAAAGGAACGCUAAUACCGCAUACGUUCUACGGGAGAAAGCAGGGGACCUUCGGGCCUUGGGCUAGCAGAUGAGCCUAGGUCGGAUUAGAUAGUUGGUGGGGUAAUGGCUCACCAAGGCGACGAUCCGUAACUGGUCUGAGAGGAUGAUCAGUCACACUGGAACUGAGACACGGUCCAGACUCCUACGGGAGGCAGCAGUGGGGAAUAUUGGACAAUGGGCGAAAGCCUGAUCCAGCCAUGCCGCGUGUGUGAAGAAGGUCUUCGGAUUGUAAAGCACUUUAAGUUGGGAGGAAGGGCAGUAAGUUAAUACCUUGCUGUUUUGACGUUACCGACAGAAUAAGCACCGGCUAACUCUGUGCCAGCCGCCGCGGUAAGAC
rnacentral:rRNA from 1 species